AGAAACAUGAACGCAAUGUACAUACCAUUCCAACUGUGCUGUCUCCAAAUCGACUACGAUCUACGAAGAAAAGUUUCUUUGGUCAACCUCUUACAAGUAUUUUUGAAGGGAAUAAGCUGCCUACCCCAAUAAUUGAUAUGAUGUCUAUAAUUGCAGAAAAAGGACAAAGUUCUGAUCAUUUAUUCAAAACUAUAUCUGAAAAUUCACAGUGUUCCCUGAGGGACAAGAUUGACACAGAAAUAUGUAUUAAGUGGAAUGAAGAAUGUGUGUUGGUUGUAGCUUCAGUCUUAAAGGACUUUAUUUCAAAUAUAGAAGGAAGCCUCCUGACUUCCAGUUUAUAUGAAAAUUGGCUCACCAUCCCAGAUGAACGAACCCUGGCUGGAAAAAUUAGUGCUAUUCAAAGGUAAUGAUACA
rnacentral:lncRNA from 1 species